rnacentral:rRNA from 1 species
AUACGUAGGUGGCAAGCGUUGUCCGGAUUUAUUGGGCGUAAAGCGAGCGCAGGCGGUCUCUUAAGUCUGAUGUGAAAGCCCCCGGCUCAACCGGGGAGGGUCAUUGGAAACUGGGAGACUUGAGUGCAGAAGAGGAGAGUGGAAUUCCAUGUGUAGCGGUGAAAUGCGUAGAUAUAUGGAGGAACACCAGUGGCGAAGGCGGCUCUCUGGGCUGUAACUGACGCUGAGGCUCGAAAGCGUGGGGAGCAAACAGGAUUAGAUACCCUGGUAGUCCACGCCGUAAACGAUGAGUGCUAAGUGUUGGAGGGUUUCCGCCCUUCAGUGCUGCAGCUAACGCAUUAAGCACUCCGCCUGGGGAGUACGGCUGCAAGGCUGAAACUCAAAUGAAUUGACGGGG